GCGGAUGUAGCCAAGUGGAUUAAGGCAGUGGAUUUGUGAA
rnacentral:tRNA from 4 species